UACGAAGGGUGCAAGCGUUACUCGGAAUUACUGGGCGUAAAGCGUGCGUAGGUGGUUCGUUAAGUCUGAUGUGAAAGCCCUGGGCUCAACCUGGGAAUGGCAUUGGAAACUGGCGACCUAGAGUGCGGUAGAGGGUAGUGGAAUUCCCGGUGUAGCAGUGAAAUGCGUAGAGAUCGGGAGGAACAUCUGUGGCGAAGGCGACUGCCUGGACCAGCACUGACACUGAGGCACGAAAGCUAGGGGAGCAAACAGG
rnacentral:rRNA from 1 species